ACCUAGCAGCUAAAGCGGCAUGAAGUGCCGCGCCAUAAGGAAGUGCAUCUUCAUUGAUUUUGAAAUACGGUGAAUGCGGCAAAUGAAGACGUUCGACGGAGGGAUUCUCCAUUCCAAGGAGGAAGAUGUAUCCCGGCAAAGCCUGUUGAUAGAACGCAAAGUCCUCUGAUCCCAUCACCGGUUGCAUGUCCUUAACUUUAUCAACACCAAGCACACUCCCGGCGAUACUUUGGAAAUAGCCAUGCAAGCCACCAUUGUUUAUAGUUGGAGGGGAUAAACCCAUCUCUUCUUCAAGGAAGCUGACUGUUGCAUUGCAUCUGUGGACAGCAGCCUGUCCUGUGAUAACCUACACAAACGAAACAGUCUCAGCGCCUAACAAGGGUUCAUGUCUAUCACAAUCCGAAUUCGAAUCCAGAACAUCUCCUUAAUGACAAAACGAAUCUAUUUUUCUUCAUAACGGACCUGCUCAAUCCGGCUUCUCAGUUGCUUUAAGCUUUUGUCCGAAAAAACUCGGAAGGUGCCACCAAUUGUGACAGAAUCUGGAAUAACAUUGAAUGCACCGCCUCCUUGAAAUUUUGCUACAGUCACAACCUGUGAGCAUCAUAUUCAAAAAUCAUCGUAAACAGAUAAUGUUGUGUGUUGCAUAGCAUACAAGAUAGGGUGGCAGCUUUGACAGUGACGGAUUCAAAGAAUGGUGCAAACUAAGUUCUAAUGAGCAGUUAGAAAGGAAAGCAAUGAAUGAUAUAAGAUGUUCACCUGGGAAUCCAGGGGAUCGGCCUCGCGAGAAACAAUAUGUUGUAAGCUAACAAUCACAUUGGAAGCUGCCAAUAUGGGGUCAAUAGAAUGUUGAGGAAUGGCAGCAUGGCCUCCUUUGCCGCUUAUUAUUGCUUCAAAGAAGCCACUUCCUGCAAACAAAGGACCAGACCUAGAUGCCACUUCA